rnacentral:misc_RNA from 1 species
ACGAUGGGUAUAAGAGCAAGGUGAAUCAUCGAAUCUUUGAACGCAUAUUGCGCCCCUUGGUAUUCCUUGGGGCACACCUGUUCGAGCGUCAUUUCACCAAUCAAGCCUCGCUUGGUGUUGGGCGAUGCGCACGUCGCACGCCUCAAAUGCCCCGGCCGAGCAGUCUCUCACCCGGCGUCGUGGAAACAUACCGCUACGGAGACGAGACCUGCCCGUGCCGCAGAAUAACCUAUUUUCUAAAGGUUGACCUCGGAUCAGGUGGGGAUACCCGCUGAACUUAAGCAUAUCAAUAAGCGGAGG